rnacentral:tRNA from 1 species
AAUAAGAUGCCUGAUUUAAAAGGGUAACAGUGAUAUUGUUAAUUAUGUAAACUCAUUUACUCUUAUUA